UCAAUUUUCCAAAAAUAGGAGACGUUACGCAUUCUCUCUGUUCCUAAAGCUUCUUCCAUCGUUAUUUGAUCAGAUACCCUAAUUAUUUGAUCAGAUACCCUAAUUCUUCUCUAUUCCUUAUUGAUCUCAAAAUUCAAAACCUGUUCUCUCUACAUUUUCUCUCGCCGUUCUGUACUUUUCAUCAUCAGAUCUGUGUUCUGAAAUUUUAACAUGCAUUCUAUUAUCAACAUAAUAUCUCUACCUUUUCCACUUCAAAACCCUAAACUCAAAGGCAUGAACUAUCCAGGUAUUUUUCGGCAUAUUUCAUGAGGUAAUAUGAGAUUCCUCUUCGUAUCCUUUGUCCAUCUUCAAACCCUAGAACGUGUCUUUUGUGAUCUGUGAUCCAAAGUAACAAGUCGACUACACAGGCACGUUGUUUUCUUCAAACCCUAAAAUCGAUGUUAUUUGUUUAAGCUCGAAGAUCUGCCAUCUAUUUUUCAAUCAUUUCUAAAAGGGAUUUCCUCUGUUUCCUUUGUGAUAUGUAACAAGGUUUCACUAUUUUACUUGAGAGUUGAGAAAUAUGUUCAUGAUGUUGGUAGAUGAAUCAUUAGAUUUCUUUUUUUCAACAUUUGUGGAGUAGGAUCAAAUACAAACUACAUUUUGCAUACAAACCGUAAGAACCAUUUAAAAAGCGUCACGUGGCAUCCAACCCAUUAUAGAGAAAUGGUAAAAUGUUAUCCUAAUAUCCUAAAUAAUAUCAAUUAUAUUGAAUUCCCCAUAAAUAUGCUAACACGCAAUUAAUUCUUUGUUUGGAUCUUCUUUUUGUUUUCAAUGUGCUGAUUAAGAAAAGUGUUGAUAUCAUUCAAAUGUGUGCUAAAAUCAGUUAUCUUGAUUAUUUUUUAUGUGCUAAUAUAAUUCAAAAGUACUAAUUUUAUGUAUGUAUUGUUUUGGUAUGUGCUAAUUUAACUUUUUUUAAGUGCUAGGAUCUGUUCUUACGGUUUGUAGGUUAAAUAUGGUUUGUACCGGGACCAACCCCAACAUUUGUUAUGCUGAAUGAAUAUAGAGUUCUGUAUGGGGUUUUUUUCUUAUGAUUAUGAGAUGUUAGUGGCUUGCUGAUUGUUUCAUUUGUUUGUUAGUUAUGAGAAUGCUGAAUGAUCAUAAAGUCCAGGUAGCAUUUUUUUACUGAGGGGUAAAAAAAGUAAGACAACAACAUCCAUACUUUAUGACAUCUGUCAUUUUUUGUGUCACCACCAUGCUCUUUAAGAGUACAUGUUGGAGGUGAUCAUUCAAAGAGUUCAUGCAAAAUAAAGAACAAAAAUACAAUCUCAAUUGCUAAAUGUACAAGUUGGUGAGGUAAUUUAUCAUUAGUUUAAUACCCUUCGUUUAAAUGAUGCUAAUGAUACUGCAAAGUUAUGGACUUAACAUGUAUUAACCUGUAGACCUAAGAGAAAGAUGUAUGCUUCUGUUAUUUAUUUUUAUUUCUAAUUUUUUUUUAAUUUGUUAACACUAUUGGGUAAGCAAUGUGUCAAAUAUGGUUAGAUUAUAGUGUCCACUAUUUUGAGUGCACUGGUAUAAUUGUUUUGGAAGGAUUGCCACUAAUGGCAAAAGAUUACCCGAAAUUAUGAGCUUAUGUUAGAAAACAAAUUCUUAAAAAAGGAGAAAUAAUUGAUUCCCUCUCCGAUCUACUUUCUGGAAAUUUACAAAUCAGUUGGCAUUCGUUCUCAUGCUCGAGUGAUGGCUUGCGCAUUAACUUCCAGGUCCAGUGUUUAAAAGCUUUUGGUCUUUUCAAAUUUUGUGACCUUGCAUCUAUUCGUAUGUGUUUUUUUAACCUUUUCCUCUUUUGUAACAAACAUUAAAUACACGCGAAUGUGAUUAUUAUGUGUUUUGUAUUUAAAUUAUGUAUUUACUAUGUUAGAACCCCGUGUAUUACAUACACUGGUUGAAUAAAUGUCGAUUUCAGCAAAGAAAUGUAUAAACUCAAAUUCGGUUUUUCCUUUGAGUUAAAGAUCUGGUGUCGCUGUCGUCGCUUGAUGUGACAGUAGAAAAGAUCAAACGGCUGGUGAUGAAGGUCGUUGAGAAACAUAUCAUUUUCAACAAGUUGAUUUAGCAAAACACGGUAAGAGCAAUGGUCUGGUACUCCGGCCAAACUGGUGACGCUCUGAUUAUAUCACUCGGGCUAAUAAAGAUGGUAAUGAAGUAAGAAGUAUUAGUCUGACUCUAGGGUUCCGAUUAAGUUCCGCUAGCUUAGACUUGAUUCCGGGAAAGUACUAUAUGUUGUAUUUCUACGAAGAAGGUAAAUUACUCAAAUAAGUUUUUGUAUGACUUUACUGAUGAGAACAUGACUUAUGUGUGCUUGAUGUUGUUAGUUACUUUUUUUAUAUAUACACAUAAAAUAAGUUAAACUAAUA